CUACGUGCCAGCAGCCGCGGUAAUACGUAGGGCGCGAGCGUUGUCCGGAAUUAUUGGGCGUAAAGAGCUUGUAGGCGGUUGGUCGCGUCUGCUGUGAAAGGCUGGGGCUUAACCCUGGUUUUGCAGUGGGUACGGGCUAACUAGAGUGCAGUAGGGGAGACUGGAAUUCCUGGUGUAGCGGUGGAAUGCGCAGAUAUCAGGAGGAACACCGAUGGCGAAGGCAGGUCUCUGGGCUGUAACUGACGCUGAGAAGCGAAAGCAUGGGGAGCGAACAGGAUUAGAUACCCUGGUAGUCCAUGCCGUAAACGUUGGGCACUAGGUGUGGGGGACAUUCCACGUUUUCCGCACCGUAGCUAACGCAUUAAGUGCCCCGCCUGGGGAGUACGGCCGCAAGGCUAAAACUCAAAGAAAUUGACGGGGGCCCGCACAAGCGGCGGAGCAUGCGGAUUAAUUCGAUGCAACGCGAAGAACCUUACCAAGGCUUGACAU
rnacentral:rRNA from 1 species